rnacentral:sRNA from 1 species
GAAUUGAGUACUAGUUCUAUAUCAUAGGCUAGAAAAGACCCCAAGCUCACGACCAAAUAAGCUUGAGGUCUUUUUU